rnacentral:rRNA from 1 species
CAGCAGCCACGGGAAUACGUAGGGUGCAAGCGUUAAUCGGAAUUACUGGGCGUAAAGCGUGCGCAGGCGGUUAUAUAAGACAGAUGUGAAAUCCCCGGGCUCAACCUGGGAACUGCAUUUGUGACUGUAUAGCUAGAGUACGGCAGAGGGGGAUGGAAUUCCGCGUGUAGCAGUGAAAUGCGUAGAUAUGCGGAGGAACACCGAUGGCGAAGGCAAUCCCCUGGGCCUGUACUGACGCUCAUGCACGAAAGCGUGGGGAGCAAACAGGAUUAGAUCCCCCGUAGUCCCUGUCUCUUAUACC